GCCAGGAGCGUGGCCGCCUGCAUAGGGCAA
rnacentral:sRNA from 1 species